rnacentral:rRNA from 1 species
UACGUAGGGUGCGAGCGUUAAUCGGAAUUACUGGGCGUAAAGCGUGCGCAGGCGGUUUUGUAAGCCAGAUGUGAAAUCCCCGGGCUUAACCUGGGAAUGGCAUUUGAGACUGCAAGGCUGGAGUUUGGCAGAGGAGACUGGAAUUCCCGGUGUAGCAGUGAAAUGCGUAGAUAUCGGGAGGAAUACCGAUGGCGAAGGCAGGUCUCUGGGCUAUAACUGACGCUCAUGCACGAAAGCGUGGGGAGCAAACAGG